rnacentral:tRNA from 1 species
GAGGGUAUAGCUCAGUGGCAGAGUGCAUGCCUGGUAUGCAUGAAGUCCUGGGUUCAAUCACGAGGUCCCGGGUUCAAUCACGAGCUCCCGGGUUCAAUCAUGAGGUCCCGGGUUCAAUCCCCAGUACCUCCA